rnacentral:lncRNA from 1 species
AAGGAUCAAGCUAACCCCCAGCAAUGUCAAGCACCUAGUGUACAACACUGCCAAUGGCCCUCUGGAAUUCAAUGAGAACUCAGCACAAAAUUCAACUGCUCGUUCGUGCUCCAGUCUGUUCAAGCAGCUCACGGCAUAUGGUACAGGAGGAGUGAGGAAAAGCAGGUGUGGAGCUGGACAGAACACGUGCCAAGCCCCAGAACCACCCCUGGAGCAGGAGAAUAGAUCUUCCUUUAUAUUGGUGUUAAUCAUCACUUCUAAAGGACAUCACCAAUUCUCCCAAGCUCCAAGGAGCAGGAGGAGGAGUGCCCAGCCAUGACCCUGGCUGAGCACAGGGGGAGGAGAGCCCAGUGGUUAUUGAACAGAGCUCAGCCUGCACAGCAGAGGAGACAAUUUGUGUGCAGAGCUGCUGUUCAAUGGAAGACAUCUGUGGAUUCAUCAAAAACUCGUUCCAAAGGAAUUUAGGAAUGGAAAUGAACUCCUGUCACAUCACAACACGACACAAAAUAUCUGACAGACAGUCCUGGAGAUCAACAGCUCCCCUGCUCACCCACUCUGGAAUCUGCUGCAGUCACACCCUGCAAGGGAGCUCAGCAAAUUUGAUGAGAUCAAGGGCAGAGACUUGACAAGGUCCUGAGAAUGUAAUGGCAUUUAUUUGAACAAAUGUGAAAUUCUGCAUUGUAAGUUUGUCUCACUGAGCUCAGGCAGCAUUAAAAAUCACACUGUGAUUAUCACUGUGCUGCAAACUUUUAUUAAAUUGGGAAUCCCCCUGUGGGUCGGGAGGGAUGGGGAAUGGAUUAUUGCCCUCUGGUUUUUCCCAGUUUUUCUCUGCCUGGAGCAGCUGCCAGCCUGGCUCCUCGGGAUUCAGAACAGAUUUCUGAUUGUGGCUCCCAGUCCAGGCCUCUGAGCAGAACCUGAGCUGUUGGAGCUGUUUUAUGACAGGGUGCAAAGAAACCAGCCCUGUGCUGAGUGUUCUUCACCACCUCUGACUCCAUGAUGUGAACAAUUACCUGUAAUCUCGCUGCUGGGCUGAGAUAAACAACAGCAGGGGAACAGGAGAAAGGAAAAAGAUAAAACCAAACCAACCAACAAGCCUUUAGGAACAUUGCAGUGUGCUGUCUGGCACUUUCAGUGUUGACAAAAUUAGAAAAAUAAGCCAAACCAUAUUGUAAUACUUCACUUCCUAAAGCACUGUGCCUUUCAAACGUGGAAUUCUAAUGCAUCUUGCC